rnacentral:tRNA from 1 species
GACCGUGUGGCCUAAUGGAUAAGGCGUCGGACUUCGGUUCCGAAGAUUGCAGGUUCGAAUCCUGUCACGUUCG